rnacentral:rRNA from 1 species
UUCGCAAUGCCCGAAAGGGUGAACGAGCGACGCCGCGUGCGGGAUGAAGGCCUUCGGGUCGUAAACCGCUUUUGUAAGGGAAAAACUUAAUGAUGGUACCUUACGAAUAAGAGGUUACUAACUCUGUACCAGCAGUAGCGGUAAUACAGAGACCUCAAGCGUUAUCCGGAUUUAUUGGGCGUAAAGCGCGGGUAGGCGGGAAUAUUAGUCAGAUGUCAAAUCCUCGAGCUCAACUGGGGAACUGCAGUGGAUACUACUUGACUUGAGUGCAGAAGGGGAGAGUGGAAUUCCUGGUGGAGCGGUGAAAUGCGUAGAUAUCAGGAGGAACGCUGGUGGCGAAAGCGACUCUCUGGUCUGUUACUGACGCUGAGGUGCGAAAGCUAGGGGAGCAAACGGGAUUAGAUACCCCGGUAGUCCUAGCCCUAAACGAUGGGCACUAAGUAGAGGGGUUUU